UACGUAGGGGGCAAGCGUUGUCCGGAAUCAUUGGGCGUAAAGAGCUCGUAGGCGGCCUGUUGCGUCCGCUGUGAAAUCCCGGGGCUCAACCCCGGGCUUGCAGUGGAUACGGGCUGGCUAGAGGCAGGCAGGGGAGAACGGAAUUCCCGGUGUAGCGGUGAAAUGCGCAGAUAUCGGGAGGAACACCGGUGGCGAAGGCGGUUCUCUGGGCCUGUACUGACGCUGAGGAGCGAAAGCGUGGGGAGCGAACAGG
rnacentral:rRNA from 1 species